UUGUGGUCACUAGGCAGAUUUGACGAGUCAAUGAGGGCAAACCGGCGAGCUCGUGGAUCCAGCCAUUGCCGGCCAGCUUGCUGCUGCCACUGCCCAGACUGCCCUGCAUGGCUGCGUUCAUCGCAAAAGCAAGCAAGAAAAUUAAGAUUAAAUCAGUGGUAAACUAGCAAAAUUGGAAGAGGGAAGAAGCAGGGGUACAUGACUUACGGAGUGGUGGAUUGGAUGAUAGGAUUUAGGGCUGUCAUAGGUCGCGGAGUCGCCGGAGUGCGUGGGAAACGGGCGGCGUCGGCAGGCGAGCGCCGGGCGGUCGCCGCGUUGAGCAC
rnacentral:lncRNA from 1 species